AUUGAACGCUGGCGGCAGGCCUAACACAUGCAAGUCGAGCGAGCGGCGGACGGGUGAGUAACGCGUAAAGAACUUGCCUCACAGCUAGGGACAACAUUUGGUAACGAAUGCCAAUACCUACUACUGUGAGAGAGCUUUGCGUCCCAUUAGCUAGUUGGAGAGGUCACGGCUCACCAAGGCGAUGAUGGGUAGCCGGCCUGAGAGGGUGAUAAGCCACAAGGGGACUGGGACACGGGCCUUAGUCCAGCGGGAGGCAGCAGUGAGAAAUAGUGGACAAUGGACCAAAGUCUGAUGCAGAAAUUCUGUGUGCACGAUGAAGUUUUCGGAAUGUAAAGUGCUUUCAGUUGGGAAGCGGUACCAACAGAUGAAGUGACGGCUAAAUACGUGCCAGCAGCCGCGGUAAUUC
rnacentral:rRNA from 1 species